GGAGGAGUAAUAGGAGCUCCUUAGCCCCGUGGAAUACGAUCCUUCGGCUUUGCACAAGGUACUGUGCAUGCCACGUGCAAAUCCAUCAAAUUUAGUUGCACCAACCAGUGAAACUAAGGAAGGAUUCAAACCUUGGGAAGGCACUAUUACAGCAGUUGAAGAUAAUUUUUGGAAAACCAUGCUCACAUUGUAGCAGGUACUGUAGCAAACAUUGUAGCAGGUACUGUUCAUAGCCGGCCGAAGAAGGAGUAAAACAGAGAAUCCACAUGGGCAUGUGGAAAUUCCACAUGCCCGUGAGAAAAAUCCA